UACGUAGGGUGCGAGCGUUGUCCGGAAUUAUUGGGCGUAAAGGGCUCGUAGGCGGUUUGUCGCGUCGGGGAGUGAAAACCCAGGGCUUAACCCUGGGCUGGCUUCCGAUACGGGCAGACUAGGGGUAUGCAGGGGAGAACGGAAUUCCUGGUGUAGCGGUGAAAUGCGCAGAUAUCAGGAGGAACACCGGUGGCGAAGGCGGUUCUCUGGGCAUUACCUGACGCUGAGGAGCGAAAGUGUGGGGAGCGAACAGG
rnacentral:rRNA from 1 species